ACACAUGAUCACAUUGGUAUUUUAACAGUGUUGUUGUAAGAGGUCCUCACAACUAUAGAAACUAUAGAAAGACGCGCAUGUGUGUGUCCAGUGUGUGUGUGUCCUGUGUGUGUGUGUGUGUGUCCUGUGUGUGUGUGUGUGUGUCCUGUGUGUGUGUGUGUGUGUGUGUGUGUGUGUGUGUGUGUGUGUGAGUUCAGGUGUAUCCCUCAAUGACUGUCUGUCCUUCUGCUUACCGCUACAGUGUGGAACAUGGUGGAGAGAACAGAAUGAAACCUGGGCUUAGAAAAUGUGAGUGUUGACUGCUGUGAAGAAUAUGACUAAGAAUAAGUCUUAAUUCAAGUUAAGUCAAAGUCAAAGACCAACAUCAUUACUUACUUGGUCAUAUUAUAUAUCAGCUGUAGUUCUACAGAAG